AGAAAUUUCAAAUCGAGUAGCAGCAACCCCCACCCCCUCACGAUUUUCCUUCCCCUCUCCCUUUCCUUUCUCCGGCUAGUCCUUGUCUUCACCUCCGACGAUGGUCCCGACAAGUUGCAGUGGUCUCCGGGAAACGCAGAAGAACUAGGUGCGACGGCCAUGGCUUCUGGGCGACGAGGAACAAGAAGGAAGAAAGAGGGCGCCGCCGAAGCCUUCUCCACAUGUUUCCGUCUGAUCCUGACAUUGGACGGCCAAAAUCCAACCAACAACAAGCUCCUUGCAUGCCCAGCUUCAAGACCCGACCUUCCUUGUUGGAUUCCAUGUUGUUUUCCGGUGAGGGAGAGGAAAGAGAGAGGUGGGUUAGAUAGCAACUUUCUGACUAAUUUUCCGACAAUUCGGCAAUCAGAUCAGCAAUCCGAGAUUACUGUUGAACUCAGCGCCUCGAGACCUUCAAGAUGGAAUUAACUCCGCUCACACCAUUUAAAAAUCUCAUCAAGCCAUCCAGUUCGUU
rnacentral:misc_RNA from 1 species